GCUUCCCCAGCUCGGCCUCCCACACGCAGUCUCCCUCUUCCUCCAGGACAGCCUGCCCUGGCUCCUGAAGCCGCCUGGACCCACCCCCGGUGGGCGCCACCCCAGCACUGCCCGGGGCCUGCCCUCAGGGACUUCAGCACCAAAGGGGGCCGGGAAGGAGUCUAUGAGGAGACCAGGCCUGGACCAGGGCAUCUGGCCUUUGACAGCAUGGGACAAGGACAAAUCACCAUGUGUGCUUGCUGCAGGGGACCCCCAUGGAGAGCUCAUGGUCCUGCCACCCCCAGGCUCCACCUUGAAGUCACCCAGGCCACCGCCGUCCAGGAAGACCCUCCCCUUCAGGAAGACACUGAAACUUUGAUCUUCCUAAGCUCCCAGGAGACCUGACCUUCCUCUCACCUUGUCCAGGAGUUACCUGGGAUCCCCACAUCCCUAACUCACUGGGCCAAUUAAGAGAAGAGCAAGACGAAAGCUCAAGAGUCCUGGGCAAACUGCUCAGGGCAGACUGCAAGGACCUUCCCAUCCAAGCACUGAAAAGCAGCAAGGAACCAAGCAGCCCCUGUGUCUACAAGUGCAUUUGGGCAGAUGUCAAGCUCAGACCUGUACCCAGAGGGCAGCUGAGCGCACAGACAGGUGCGGCCAGGACCAUCCAGGGCCACACAGCCAGGGUGGGCCGUCCAGAGGCUGGAGGCUCACUCUGUGGGACUCAGCAGCCUGCCGACUACCAGCCACGCGCCACUGGGCUCCUGGGAUCCCCACACCCUUCCCCAGAGACGGGGAGGAAAGGCGAAGGUGAAGGCAGUUGGGCUCUGUCCCUCCGGCCCGGCAGGCUCCACAGGCUCCAGGGAGCAUGGGGUGUGGGGUGCUGCAAUGGUGGGAUACUUGACCCAUUAGGCCCCCAGCCACUUACCAAUUUUGGCUAAGCUGGCCACGAGAAUCCAGAUUGCGAUGAUGUAGGGGUCCUGGACGUGGUGCCAUUUGAAGGUGACUACCUGGAAUCCCUGGCUCGCGCUGCUUGGCUCCUCCUCGAAGCCCCUGACUCUUGGCAGUCCGCCCAGCGUCAGCACCAGCGCCAGCAGCAGUCCCCAGAAGGGGCCCGGGGACUCGCGCAGCCACAUCGCCGCGGCUCCUCAGUGCCGGGUUCUGAUGCGCAUACUGAGAUUCCAAGAAAUGAGUCACUUUGCUCGCUGUGUUCUUCUACCCGGAAGUUCCUUCUGCCUCACCACAGGGCCAGAGACAGCUGAGCCAGCUGGUCAUGGACUGGACCCUCUGGAACUCCCUUUCUCCUCUACACUGAUGUCGUCAGGUACCCCGCCACAGUGAUGAAGACCUGCCCAGCCACCAGUGGAGGGGCCUUGCCAUGCAUGAAAGUGAAAUGUUGAAACAACGCUGAAGAGUAGUCCAAAAAGAACUGAGAUCUACCUAACUGGCACAAGCAUCCAAGCUUUAAAGUCAAUGGGGAGACAUCUAGUCCCUCACAUUAAUUUCUGAUUGAAUUUCUUUUGCAUGGUUUGUGAAAAACAUCUUAUGAAUAAAGAGGCAAAUGGUUUGAAA